rnacentral:rRNA from 1 species
AUGGAUGUGCCUAUGCCUUCACAGUCCAACCGCGCUGGAUGCAAUGGAAGCGUCGGCAGCCCGUCGGAUGAUCCAUAUGGCGUUACAGCCAUGAUGAACUUUGAUGGGUACUCAGAGCUCUGCGGCAGCCCUUCAUUAGCUGACCAGCUGUUCUCGUUGCUGAACGAUUCGUCCACACACCAGAUGUUUGCUAUGUGGUCAUCCUUGGGAUCUUCGCCACGUGCUUCUGGUGUCAGUGAAGAUAUGCAGCUCGAUGCCUAUUCCAGUGUACCUGGGGAUCAAAAGGUUGAUUUGGUAUCUUCAGUGAAUCCAGCUGAAACUGGGACUGGGAGAAUGGCCAAGAGUUCAGGCGACCUUGGCUCAGAUGGUGAUCCUGAGCAAGGAAGUACUAGUUUGGUUCCGAGGCCUAUUGCCGGCAACUUACUCGCUGACAGGAUGCUCAUGGCUCUGUCUUUGUUCAGGAAGUCACUUGGCGGCGGCGUUCUUGCGCAGGUCUGGAUGCCUGUUGAGCAGGAGGGGCAUGUCGUGCUUAGUACAUGUGAACAGCCGUUUCUGCUUGACCAAGCUCUUGCUGGGUACAGAGAAGUAUCCAGGCAUUUUGUGUUCUCCGCUAAGGAGGAGACCGGCCUUCAACCAGGGCUUCCAGGGAGGGUCUUCAUCUCCGGUGUGCCAGAAUGGACCUCAAAUGUGCUCUACUACAGCAAGCCAGAGUAUCUGAGGAUGGAGUAUGCUCUUCAUCACGACGUUCGAGGAUCACUUGCUAUGCCGAUAUACGACCCCAGCAAGGGCUCUUGCUGUGCAGUGCUUGAGCUUAUCACAAAGAAGGAGAAACCUGACUUUGCUGCAGAAAUGGACAACCUUCGCCAUGCCUUGCAGGCUGUGAACUUGGAGACAGCAAAGGAUUGCAUUGAUCAGAAGGUUUAUUCAGCAAAUCAGAAAGCCGCUUUCACUGAGAUUUUGGAUGUUCUAAGAGCUAUUUGCCAUGCACACAUGCUUCCGUUGGCCCUCACAUGGGUCCCUUCAUCAAAUGGCAGUGAUGGUGGUUAUGUUGGACAUGAUAGUGUCCUUGAUUCUCAGUCAGGAAAAACGAUACUCCGCAUCCAUGAAUCAGCGUGUUAUGUUAAUGAUGCAAAGAUGCAAGGAUUUUUUCAUGCAUGCACUGAAACUCACCUUGAGAAAGGGCAAGGUAUUGCAGGCCGAGCACUCAAGUCCAAUCUGCCGUUCUUCUCUCCCAAUAUCAGAGAAUACGGAAUUAAAGAUUACCCACUCGCACACCAUGCUCGUAAGUUUGGCCUGCAUGCUGCUGUAGCAAUCCGGCUAAGGAGCACAUACACCGGUGAUGAUGACUACAUACUAGAAUUCUUUCUACCAAUCAACUGCACAGGCAGUGAAGAACAACAGAUGUUAUUGAAUAACCUCUCCAGUACUAUGCAAAGAAUAUGCAAAAGUUUACGAACAGUUUCUGAAGCAGAGGUUGAUAAAGUUGAUGCUUGUACUGCAGUAAUGUAUAAGGCAACCAGUGGAAGUUGCUUGCCUACUGGUCAGUCUGAGAGUUCUUCGCGUGGUGAUCAACCAGCCACAGAAGAGGCAUUCCAGGAUCUAUCUUUAAUUGAUAAGCAACGGGGCAUGUCCGAGCAGGCACAGUCUAGUACAAUGCGACUUGCGGAGAAAAAGCGCAGUACAGCUGAGAAGAAUAUUGGCAUGGAUGUUCUUCGUAAGUACUUCUCUGGGAGCCUAAAGGAUGCUGCAAAGAGCCUUGGUGUUUGUCCAACAACCUUAAAACGGAUAUGCCGCACACAUGGAAUUUCACGAUGGCCAUCUCGCAAGAUAAACAAGGUCAACCGUUCAUUAAAGAAGAUCCAAACUGUCAUUAACUCGGUUCAUGGAGUGGACAGUUCUUUGCAGUAUGAUCCUGCUACUGGAUCUCUUGUUCCAGCAGUUUCUCUGCCAGAGAAGACUUCAUUCCCUUCGUGUGAUGCUGUGUCCAGUCCAUCCGUUGGGAAAACUGUGGAUGAAAAAUCUGGCCCAAAAUCUGAGCAAGGGUAUUCGUCACCUGAAGGAUGGGAAAGAGAGAGUUGCCAGUUGCAGCGCCCUGAUGCGCAGAAAGGGGAAGGCGAUGAAUUUCACAUGCAGACAAGUAACUAUAGUGGCAGUGGUGAUCACGCCUCUUAUGGUGCGAAUGUCACACAUCAUAUUAAUUCUGAAGGAACACAAGAACCAUUGUAUCCCAUUGGUGCUGUUAGUGCUUUACAUGACAAAGAAACAGGCUGCAUCGAACCUUCUGCCCGUGUCCUCCCAAGCAUCAAGACUACCAGGGACCAGAUAGUGGGAAGGAACUCACCGCCCGCACAACAAGCAGAUAUUGAUAUGUUUGACGACCGUGAAGGCAGGGAGCAUACUCAUCCUUCCACCUCUGGUAUGACAGACUCUUCUAGUGGCAGUGCAUCAAGCCACCCCACAUUUAAGAAGAACCCAGCACGUCCACUUAAAGACAAGAGCAGCCCUGCACUUACGGUCAAGGCAACGUACAACGGAGACACCGUGCGGUUCAAGUUCUUGCCAUCGAUGGGCUGGUACAACCUGCUGGAAGAAAUAGCCAAGAGGUUCAAGCUGUCGAUGGGGGUGUUCCAGCUCAAGUACAAGGACGACGAGGACGAGUGGGUCAUCAUGGCAAACGACUCUGAUCUCCAGGAGUGCGUCGACGUCAUGGACUCGAUGGGCACGCGCAACGUGAAGCUCCAGGUCCGGGAUCUCCCGUGCCUCAUCAGCAGCUCGGGCAGCAGCAGCUGCUUGCAGCUGGAAGGACACAAUUCAUAA